CGCCGCCCCGCGCCCCGGAUUCGCCUCGGGUCGGCCGCGCGGCGGGUGCGUCGCCCCAGCCCGGCCCCGCGCGGCGGCUCCCUCGGGCCGGGGCGGGUAUAUUUCCUUUCUUCCAUGAUCUCAACACUGAUAAAGUGAAAGAAAACUAACGUAACCAUGACAGAGAAAAGUAGCUGGAACUGAGAAAAAAAAGAGGCAAGCUUCCUCUUGGUUUGCUUGGAUACUUGCUCUGGGAACCAGCCCCCAUGGUCUAAGGGAGCCCACCCUGCCCCACAGAGGCCCACAUGGAAAAGAACCCAUAGCAAUGUCAACUGGCCGUGGGAGCGAGAGAUUUUGAAGUGAAUCCUCCAGCUUCCAGCAAUCUACCCAAUUGACACCUUUUGGAGUGGAAAUGAGCUAUCCAACCCUGCCCAAAUGAUAGGUUCAUUAGCAAAAUAAAUGAUGGUGGUUGUUUUAAGCCAUUAAGUCUUAAGAUGGUUUUGUUAAGCAGGUUAGGUUACUGGACCAGCAUCCUGUGUUUGUAAUGCAGGGAGGUGGUGCAUUAUAAUUGUGUGUGGCCUAUGCCUGUCUGGUUCAAAGCCCAUCUCUGCUCCUUACUAAUUGUAUGAACUUUGGCAAAUUACUUAACCUCUCGGUGCUUCAAUUUCCUUCUUUUUUCAGUGUCAAUAAAAUAGGACUUAAGUUUGUUGUGAGGAUUAAGUGAUAAUGCAGGUAAAUGCAGAUCUACAGGUAAUACAGAGCAAUCUUUGUCAUCAUCUCAGACAAGCCUCUGAUCGUUCCACAAUUCUUCUCAUGGGAUUCUAGUUUUUUGUCUGUAUAGCACUUUUG